CCCUUUUGCCUUCGCCUUCUGCAUCUGUUCGGUUCCUGGUUUGAUUUUGGAGAGGUUGGCAGGGCGGGGGACGUCCUGCUUGUGCCGACUUACUGCGGGGACGGGGACGAAGGGAUGGCUUUUUGGUACUCUUGUUCGGAUGUGGCAUCCCCCGAGCAUCUUCUGGGCGGCUGGUUUCGGGGAUGGGCUGUCUCAAUUGUUUCACUCCACCUGCGUUUACCUCCGAAAUCCUCCCCGCACCACCACCCAAACAGGCAGGUAAAUGUCUGGCUGGCGGAGUGCGCUUGCAAAGGGGGGGAUUACAGUAUAUAUUUUACGUGGGGGAUUAUUUGCGGAGGGCUAAAGCCAAGAGUGAUGGGAAGAGAAAGAGCUUUUUUCUCCCUCCUUCCCAUGUGCUGGCAUCAACACAACCAGAUUCCGCAGCGCAAGUCAAAACAUCUCUAGCAGGUGAUUCCUUUGACCCUGUCAGAGGUAAAAAAAUUAUCACAUGAUUCGUAAAAUGGGUGAAAGUGGAGGAGGGGGACUGGACUAGUCUGAGACUCUGAAAGGUUUCCAGAUUGCAGGUUUUUCAUUUGUCUCCUUUUAAAAAAAUAAAAUGAUAACUAUAAUCUCCGUCCCAGUUGCUUGUGACAGGGUAAGUAUGUAGUCUUGCUGCAAGCUGGUCGUUUGUUUGCUUUUUAACAAGGUGUGAGGAUAAUGGCAUCUCAUCUGAUCACGUUUCACCUCACGGGGUUGUAUUUUUUAAGCGAAGAAGCAGGGUUUGUGCAGUUGGUGGGGGGGAGCAAUAAAAAAGGCCCCCAGUCUGGGGACAGGCUGCACCUGGCAGCUACCGUUUCUCUCGCCCUUGCUGUGAAUGGGCUUUUCCUGCCAAGGUUUGUUGUGUUUUUUGAAAGUUAGGGAGUGUGCUAACGCUGCUCUGAUUCUCUAAGGGGACCAGCGUUCUAUAAAUGGCAGAGGAAUAAUUAUCCUAAUCCAAAAAAGAAAGGAGAGAAGCUGCCGGAUGUCAUAAAAAGCUAAAGUCUGCCUGAGAUUAAAGGUUUUCCCAAAGCUGUCCUGUUUCCUCGUAAAGGAAGGAUGAGACGGUGCCGGCAGAUUGCUAAUGCUGUCUCCACAGUUACCAUUAAAGAUAUCAUGUGAAAUCAGAGUGGAAAGUCAAGUGACAGGCGCAAAGUAAAGCAGAAUCUCACUCAGGGAAGUGUGUUCUGCUGCAAAGAUGUUCAGGGCAAAGUCUCUUACCAAAGCAGCAAAAUCCACCUGGUCCAGAGUUGUCUGAGAUAAGUUUAUGUCGGCUCACUCAAUCACCUCAAGACUUUUUGCAGUUGGGAUGGAAAUGUUUAUUCCAUCUCUGAGAAUUAAGCAGUCAGUCUGUCAGAGGCCUAAGAUAUAGAGGGCACAAGUUUGUGUUUUAAUUGUUGCCUCAUGUAUCAUCAAGGCCACGGUAUGUAUAUGGUGGUUAGACAAGUUUUGGGAGAUGCUUGGAAUGAACACAUCCAUUCUUAUUUAAUUCGGUUGUUUCUAUGCUAUAUCUUCUAUCAGUUAAAACUUUCCACAGCAGGCAGCCAUGGACAAAUUAAACUGUCAGAUGUGUCUGUAGGAAGGUUAGUGAAUGAAAAGUUUUGUGUAUGCCCUCUUAAUCUCCUCUUUGGGUUUUAAGUAAAAAUCUUAUUUGUAACUUUGGUUGCACAAGGAACUUCUGGAAGUGUCCUGAGUUCCAGAUAUAGUAUUUGAAGCAUCGGGGAGGGGGGGGGGCGUUGCCAAAAAAAUUAUUUAUAAAACUAUAAAACUUUGGAGUUUCUUUCAGUUGUUAAAUCUCCAGUGUUGCAUACUUGUACGCCAGCACUUGCCAUUCUGCCUGAGAUUUCACAUUCUACCUGUAAGGUAUCUAUUGUACAAAGGUAUCUAUUGUACGAAGUGCAUGUCAGUUAAGCAAUGUCUGCUUUCUAGGAAUUUUAAACUUAGUGACAUUCUAAAUUUGUCUCUUGAACGGAAUCAAUAAUUCAUUUCAGCCAAUAUCUCUGGGUUAAGAUUGCUUCCUUAUGCAAAUUUCACAAGGCCGCUCUAUUUCUAAGCCAAUACAUUUGAAGAAAAAACCUGUAAUGAAGAUUCCCUCAUUUCUUAUACUUUCCUCUUAAUCUCUCUUAGUGUUACUGAGUAACAAAGGAUUACUAGUGAGAAGAACAAGUUUGACACAUGUUGGCUACUUUGAGGACAGUUAACAGGAGUAUGGAAUUAGGAGUUCAAAGUCUUAAUAACUAAGGGCAUUAUUCGAUCAUUUAAGAGAGCUGUGUUCUGGGACCGUUUUAUAGCUUGUGUUACCUUUUCGGAUAAAAGGUAGCAAAGGGUUUAUUUGAAAAAUAGAUCUCUACUUGAAGAUGCACAGUUUAUAAAACAAGGUGGAUAUGGAUGUAUCCCAACACUGAAAAUUACAUUUUAAAAAAACUGGGUUUAUUUUAAAAAAUGCCUUUUUUAAAACCCAGUUUAUAUUCAACCUGUUGAAUUUGAUAGUUUGAUAAUAGUUUUGUAAAUUGGUGUUUAGUCUGCCGUAGAAGCAGUAUGAUGCUAGGCAAUCCCAAGUAGGGUUUAGAAGUGGUUUAUUUAGCAAUAAUUGUAUAAACGGCAGAUAAGAGCAGAUCUCUGUAAACAACGUGAAGGAAUAUUUGUUGCUGCUUUUCAAGAAAAAAAUGUACCAACAUGGUAUAGUGGGGGAAAGUGCUUUUAUGUCACAUACAUACCAUUUUCUCUUGGAAAAUGGUGAAAUAUUUCUAAUGAUAUGGACAUUUAAUGAUGUUCCAAAGCAUACUUUACUGCAUACUCUUCUACUUUUAGAGUGCUAAAAGCAACAACCUAUGUCUGCAAAAAUGUUUACAUCCACUUCAUCAUUUAGAUGCUUGGUGAUACCUUGAUACAUUUCAGCUUUGCUUUGAACAGCGAAAGAAAAUAAAAGACUCAUAUACACUCGCUGUUCAGCUGACAAAUGUGCAUUGAUUAUAUUUGGAAAACUGAGAAUGCUACUGAAAAUGUCUGCGUGAUGGAUUGACAUUUAAUGCUGCAAAGGUGUGGUGUUUAUUUAACCACCCGUGUGAAGCUAAAAUGGGUGAUCUUCAUUUGAUAAUACUGUUUCCUUAUUUCCCCCAUAUACUUUCUAGGAUUCCCUAACACUGCAAAGGUGUAAAGUUAGUUUUGUACUUUACAACCUCCAAGUAUCUGCUUCUUCUUAGAAGCACUUUGCUAUCGUGAAUUUUCUCAGGAGAGAAACCCUGAUUCUACAUUGGAUGAAAUAGUUUUUAAAAAUCGGUAUAUAUUUAGAACUAAAAGAUCUGCCUGAGCAGCUUCUCAACUUCUGCGACUGAUUCUGAGGUAAAUCUGUCGCAUGAUUUGCAAACGUCAAAGUAAUAUUGCUUUGUUCUUGGGGCCCGAUCCAGCCAAAGUUAAGUUCCUUUAAGUCACACUGAUUUCAGUGGGAUACGGAAGGAUACAUGUAACUUUUCCUGCUCUAAUCAAUUAAAAUUAGAGGUGUUUAGCUUGGGCUAUAUUAUGUUCUUGCUGUGUGCUUGUUCUGUUGUCUUUAUAAAAGUGAAACAUUCAGAAGAUUUUAAAAUUCAAUCAUUUCCAAAUGCCCUUUCCACAGAUGCAUAAUGUGAAAGUUUUUCUGCUUGCCUCUUGAAAUCUGAAACCAUAAUCUGAACACAAACCUUAUGGUUUUCAAUAGAACUUGCUGGGAAUGAUGUUUAGAAACAAGGUACCACUUACUGACAGCCAACUGGCACAUGAUUGUAAGCAUGCAAUAUAUUUGCUCCAUCGUUUGGAAGGAGAGGUGGGAAGCUUGGAUAUAGGUAAAUAUGUUAUCCUUUUUCAUAAUCCGUCUAAAGUAAAUGAGUGCCCAAAUUUAUAGAAUUAUAUUUCUCUCUCUCUCUCUCCCCCCAGCAAUUUAUUGCAUUGUCAAUCUGUGGUCUGAGCUGACACUGGAAAACGGGGCCCAGCACUUUGGAAGAAUUUGCUGUUGUUUAGAUUUAAAGCUCAGCUUUUGGGAGAGUUUUUUGGGUGAUGAGUUUUUAAACGCGGUAGAUUUUGAUAAGCAUGCUGAGAAAUUGUGGAGUAUGUACUGUACAAAACUGGGUAUCAGCCAUGUGAGGGUUUCUAAAAAUAGCUUGUUUAGGGACACGAAGCCCUUGGAGAUGGCAAAGGUGCAUAUAAGCAUGUAUGCCAAAAACACCACCAACAAAAAAAACUUUCAGACAACGCUUAGUAGUAAAACACACACACACACAUAUUAGUGAGGGGGUUGAAUUUUUUCCUUGUUUGCUUGUUCCCCAGCAGCAAUUAAGCUGAUUCAUUGUUUGCAUGUGGGCUCCCGGGGGUUAGACUAAAUCUGAGGCAUUUGCAGGGAGAGAAGUAAACAUACAAAGUUAAAUGCUACUAUCUGGAAGGAGAGGCAAGGUUAACGCUGGCAGAGCAAGCACAAAGGGUUGGCAACAAGGGAGCCAAAUAUGUGCAGCCAAGUAGAGAGGGUGUGUGUGUGUGUGUGUGUGUGUGUGUGUGUGUGUGUAAAAAAAGAAGUUGUGGUGCAAUGAAAUUUCUGUGAAAAUUAAGGAAAUUAAGGAAAAGGCUACUGAGGCCAUGCGGAUUACCAUUGUGCAUUCUCCCUGUUACAUUGAGGUAAUAAAUGUGUGUGUUCCAUCUUGAGCUAGAUUCGGGGACAAAUGUCUCCUCUCACAAUAGGCUGGGUGUCGGGCUUCAGGAUGUACACCUUAUCUUACCUUACACAUCCACGACCACGACAGCUUGUGAGCAAGGAUUGGGAUUUGGAGAUUAAAAUUAAAUUGAUUAAAACUUAAUACCCAUCUUAUUUUGGGUUUUCCCUUCCCUCUCUCCCACCCCGGCUUUCACCUUUGAUUUCUAGUGAUCUAUUAGGUAGCAAUUUGCAAUGCCUGAACUUAACGUUUAGAAUGAGGGGGAAAUUGUGGAAUUCACGAUUCCAUAUCUGUGCAGUGGCGGAGCAUUGCAUCAAUAGUAGAGCUGCCUCUUUCUAGCAAAAAAUAAUAAUAAUAAGAUGAAUGGGAAAGGCUGGAAAGAGCAAUAAAAUGAAGUACUCUGGCAGC